rnacentral:rRNA from 1 species
ACAAGAUUAUUCGCCAGAAUACUACAAGCAACAGCUUGAAACUCAAAGGACCUGGCGGUGCUUUACAUCCGUCUAGAGGAGCCUGUUCUAUAAUCGAUACACCCCGAUAAACCUCACCACUUCUCGCCCUCAGCCUGUAUACCGCCUCUUCAGCAAAC